UAUGACAGUUGUCAUAAAGGGGGGUAGGUAGUAAAGGCGAUAUGCUGCAAAAAAUUAAUUCAAAAGCAUUUAAUUAUGCAAACUUUUCUUUCUUCUUUUGAUACACAAUUGUCUAUCAACUUGCAUCACUUGCAAGUGUAAAUCCUGU